GACGAACGCUGGCGGCGUGCCUAAUACAUGCAAGUAGGACGCAGUUGCGAACGGGUGAGUAACGCGUAGGUAACUACCUAUUAGAGGGGGAUAACUAUUGGAAACGAUAGCUAAUACCGCAUACUCGUAGAUGGACCUGCGUUGUAUUAGCUAGUAGGUAGGGUAAUGGCCUACCUAGGUAACGAUACAUAGCCGACCUGGGAGGGUGAUCGGCCAAACUGGGACUGGGGCACGGGCCAGACUCCUACGGGAGGCAGCAGUAGGGAAACAUCGGAAAUGGGGGGAAACCUGACCGAGCAAAGCCGCGGGAGUGAAGAAGGGUUUCGGGUCGUAAAGCUCUGGUGUUAAGGAAGCGGUACUUAACCAGAAAGGGACGGCUAACUACGUGCCAGCCGCCGCGGUAAUUC
rnacentral:rRNA from 1 species